GCGGGCCAAAAUACAUGAACUAUAAAAAUUCUAUUAUUCUUAUAAUUUUAUGGUUCCAUCUCAAUGAGCUUCCUCAGUUUUAUUUUGAGAUUUUAUGCUGAAGUUAGGGGGUGGGUCAUUCAAGGUCAUUUUAAGAUUAUGCUCAGCCUCACAUCACAGCAUUUGGGGGUUUUGACUUCUGACUUUUGUGGGUUGUUUUUCCCUUUCCAGCAUCUAGUGCUGUCUGUCAUUAGGAGUACAGGAACUGCCAUACUCACCAGACCAGACAUCUAAUUCAGGAAGGUGCCUGACUCAUACUUUAGGAAGGUGCAGAAAUCUCCAGGUGGCCUUCAAGAUCAGCCCUAGAUGGAGUGUAACAAAACACUAUCUGGAGGUGGCAAAUGUUUGAACUGUUGUUGCUUGGCUAGGGAGGAGCAGACUGGUCGCCUCAAACCAGUGAGGUUUCUGGCUACUGCUGCAACGUGUGUGUUGGAAUAAUUAUACAUGGUGUAAGAACUUUUGUGCAACGUGGACUGCAUACUACCUUGAUCGCUUAUAGGUAGUCCACCUUAAUGGAGGAUGAAGUCACAGUACCAACCAGUUCCAAGAUCCUCACACUGCAGCUUUCUUCUCCCUUGCACUGGAUGUUUGUUGACAUGGAGAGGAUACAUGCUGAUGAAAUUCCAUUGUAAAAACUAUAGAAACUACUGUGCUGAAAAACAUUUACUGCUUACCUGCCAAAAGGAAAAUUUUGGGUAAGAUCCACAGAUAGUGUUUUUUUGUUUUGUUUUGGUUUGUUUUUUGUUAGCCCUGUGGCUAAAAGAAGGGAUCGCUGUUUGCUAGGUACCAAAACAAAGUUUUCAUGCUUUGUGGUAGGGCCUCUCAUAGUUACUAGUGUUUUACUCAGUAAUUUACUCAUGUAGAACAUGGUUUUUCAACAUAUUUGUGGGAAAUGAUCUUGGUUGGCAGGCUCUUCAGAAGGAGAGGCAUAACAUUGAGGUAGUCUCUGACAGUUCUGAAUUCUUACAGCUUUGGGGGAAGUAAGCAUUAUAGAAUCUGUGGCUCUUGCUACUAGGAGAAAGGAUACUCUUUAGGAAUAUACGUAUACAAUUUUCUUAUUGACUAGCUCAUAUGAUAUGAGGCUGAAAGUGAAAACUAACCUCUGUCUCUUGUAAAUAUCACCAAACUCAGAUUGGAAGUUGGGAGAGGGUAUAGAAUUAGCUAAACAAGAGAGGCUAUCAAAACUCCUUCUGCUCCAAGGAUUCAGGAGGUAUAAAACUUAAUUCAGAAAUACAGAACUAUAAACUUCCUAGAAGUUUAAUGUUUCUACCUGUCAUAAAUGUCAAUUAAUGCUGUUCAUAGGCUACUAAACAUUUGGAAGAACAUAUUGUUAAGCGUGAGGCUUCUGCAUUUAUAAUACCUUCCUAAAUUAGAGUGGUGGCUUCUUUUGUAGGUGCUGGAAAACAUAUAUGUUAAACAUUUUGUACUUUCACUUUUAAAUGUAAACAGUAUUUUCAGCAGUUAU